AAGAUGAGAUUUCCCAUUACGCAAGUAAGUAAGAUCCCUCAAAGACGAUGAGGUAGAUAGGUUCGAGGUGGAAGUGUGGUGACACAUGGAGCUGACGAAUACUAAUCGAUCGAGGACUUAACCAAAA
rnacentral:rRNA from 1 species